CAUUGGUGUCAACAUGGGCCAGUUUCCCUGUGGAAUGCUUUUGACAGCUUGUAAAGUCCAUGCCCCCAUGAAUUGAGGCUGUUCUGAGGUCAAAAGGGGGAGUGCAACUCAAUAUUAGGAAGGUGUUUCUAAUGUUUGGUAUACUCAGUGGAUGUCACAUAGCCAAAGAAAUGGUUCCUAUUUACACAGUCAGCGAAAACAUCUUCAAGAAGAUGAUAAACAAGCUGGACAGCACAGAUACAAGAUUCCAUCUCCCAAGUCACCAUCCCAAUACGGUAAGACAAAAUUAAGGGAGAAGUUGAAGCAGAGCUCACACGUGUUGAUUAUUAGGCUACUUUAUUUUUAUUUAAUUUUUAUUUAACCAGGCAAGUCAGUUAAGAACAAAUUCUUAUUCAUAGGACGUCAUUUACAAUGACGGCCUACGAGCCUACAACAGACCUUUGUCUAGUAAAACAACCGAGCCCUACUGUACAUUAGUUUGACAGUAGACUUCAUUGAUGGGGAGUUUCAACUGAACGGUCAGUGCUUGCAAACAUCAUAGGCUACAUCUCCAGAGAUCACACAGGAGAAACAUCGCUCAUGGGUUGAGAGAAUGCCUGGGUCGUGAUUGAGGAGCAGCAAGUGUGCAUAAGGAUAACAGCACAAAUGUUUUAAAGGCCAUCGCAUUGAAUGGACCAGACACCAAUGUUUUGGACACAGGCUGCAUCUUGCAAUCGGAGGGGUGCGUCACUUGAGUGGGUUGAGUCACUGACACGAUCUUCCUGUCUGGGUUGGCGCCCCCCCUUGGGUUGUGCCGUGGCGGAGAUCUUUGUGGGCUAUACUCGGCCUUGUCUCAGGAUGGUAAGUUGGUGGUUGAAGAUAUCCCUCUAGUGGUGUGGGGGCUGUGCUUUGGCAAAGUGGGUGGGGUUAUAUCCUUCCUGUUUGGCCCUGUCCGGGGGUAUCAUCGGAUGGGGCCACAGUGUCUCCUGAACCCUCCUGUCUCAGCCUCCAGUAUUUAUGCUGCAGUAGUUUAUGUGUCGGGGGGCUAGGGUCAGUUUGUUAUAUCUGGAGUACUUCUCCUGUCUUAUCCGGUGUCCUGUGUGAAUUUAAGUAUGCUCUCUCUAAUUCUCUCUUUCUGUCUUUCUUUCUUUCUCUCUCUCGGAGGACCUGAGCCCUAGGACCAUGCCUCAGGACUACCUGGCAUGAUGAGUCCUUGCUGUCCCCAGUCCACCUGGACGUGCUGCUGCUCCAGUUUCAACUGUUCUGCCUGCGGCUAUGGAACCCUGACCUGUUCACCGGACGUGCUACCUGUCCCAGACCUGCUGUUUUCAACUCUCUAGAGACCGCAGGAGCGGUAGAGAUACACUUAAUGAUUGGCUAUGAAAAGCCAACUGACAUUUACUCCUGAGGUGCUGACUUGCUGCACCCUCGACAACUACUGUGAUUAUUAUUAUUUGACCAUGCUGGUCAUUUAUGAACAUUUGAACAUCUUGGCCAUGUUCUGUUAUAAUCUCCACUCCACCCACCACAGCCAGAAGAGGACUGGCCACCCCUCAUAGCCUGGUUCCUCUCUAGGUUUCUUCCUAGGUUUUGGCCUUUCUAGGGAGUUUUUCCUAGCCAUCGUGCUUCUACACAUGCAUUGCUUGCUGUUUGGGGUUUUAGGCUGGGUUUCUGUACAGCACUUUGAGAUAUCAGCUGAUGUAAGAAGGGCUGUAUAAAUAGAUUGGAUUUGAUUUGAUUUGAACCUCAUUUGGGAUCUCUAUGAUUUCCCAAGAAUUUUGCUUGGGCAAAAGAAACUCACACAUCUUAGUCAAUCACGAAGGGUUGGGGAUUUGCAAUUGGCCACAGACUGCAUACAAUGCAAACAAAAAUGAGUAAAUAGGAUGUCCCUUGGUUGUCACGAAAUGGUUGCCUAAAGUGUCAUGGUCCUCUGGAGGUUUUGUCUAGUUCCCGGUUGGUUACGGGGAUGUUCUGAAAACGUUUUUAGGUCGUUCUUGGGAUGUUGUGUCAUGGUCCCCUGGUGGUCUUGCCUUAUUCCUGGUUUGUCCCGGGGACAUCACCUGAUGGUCUUAACGAAACGUCCCCACCCCCAAGGCAUGUGCACCCUAGUUUCAUUAUACAUCAUCCCAUUUCACUGUUGCCAAGCCCAUCAAGGCCCUGAUUAGUGAACCACUGAUCCAGUCACAGCUCUUUGUCUUUUGGCAAUGCUUGUGACACCCUUCCGCCCCACACACACAAACAGUGCUUUUAACAUACAGUGUUUUGAACUUACAUAUUUGACACACUUUGACAUACACUACCGUUCAAGAUUUGGGGUCACUUAGAAAUGUCCUUGUUUUCCAUGAAAACAUACAUAAAAUGAGUUGCAAAAUGAAUAGUAAAUAUAGUCAAGAUGUUGACAAGGUUAUAAAUAAUGAUUUGUAAUUUAAAUAAUCAUGUCCUUCAAUCUUUUCUUUCGUCAAAGAAUCAGCCUUGCAGACCUUUGGCAUUCUAGUUGUCAAUUUGUUGAGGUAAUCUGAAGAGAUUUCACCCCGUGCUUCCUGAAGCACCUCCUACAAGUUGAUUGGCUUGAUGGUCACUUUUUACGUACCAUGCGGUCAAGCUCCUCCCACAACAACUCAAUAGGGUUGAGAUCAGGUGACUGUGCUGGCCACUCCUCUGUCCAGUGUCUGUGUUCUUUAGCCCAUCUUAAUCUUUUCUUUUUAUUGGCCAGUCUGAGAUAUGGCUUUUUCUUUGCAACUCUGCCUAGAAGGCCAGCAUCCCGGAGUCGCCUCUUCACGUUGAGACUGGUGUUAAGCGGGUACUAUUUAAUGAAGCUGCCAGUUGAGGACUUGUGUGUCAAACUGGACACUCUAAUGUACUUGUCUUCUUGCUCAGUUGUGCACCGGGGCCUCCCACUCCUCGUUCUAUUCUGGUUAGAGCCAGUUUGCGCUGUUUUGUGAAGGGAGUAGAACACAGCGUUGUAUGAGAUCUUCAGUUUCUUGCCAAUUUCUCGUAUGGAACAGCCUUAAUUUCUCAGAACAAGAAUAGACUGACGAGUUUCAGAAGAAAGUUCUUUGUUUCUGGCCAUUUUGAGCCUGUAAUCAAACCCACAAAUGCUGAUGCUCCAGAUACUCAACUAGUCUAAAGAAGGCCAGUUGUAUUACUUCUUUAAUCAGGACAACAGUUUUCAGCUGUGCUAACAUAAUUGCAAAAGGGUUUUCUAAUGAUCAAUUAACCUUUUAAAAUUAUAAACUUGGAUUAGCUAACACAACGUGCCAUUGGAAUACAGGAGUGAUGGUUGCUGACAAUGGGCCUUUGUACACCUAUGUAGAUAUUCCAUAAAAAAUCUGCCGUUUCCAGUAACAAAAGUCAUUUACAACAUUAAUAACAAUGUCUACACUGUAUUUCUGACCAAUUUUAUGUUAUUUUAAUGGACAAAAACAAGGACAUUUCUAAGUGACCCCAAACUUUUGAAUGGUAGUGUACAUGAUUACAUUGUGUAUAUUUAUUCAAACAGUGUUUAUUAUUUAAUGUUUCCGCACCUGGGAUUGAAACUCACGUCUUGGUUCACAGCAUCGCUGUGGUUCAUGGCAUCGCGCUGUGAACCUCUUGGUUCAUUUCGCCGAAACCCUUAAGGGACCUAAUGGGAACGUUGCCCAAUAUUCUCAAGACUUCCCCUGUAUGCUGGGUAAUCAUGUGGAUUUAUGCAUUGUGACAGGUAGUGGGGAGGCUGAGCAGAGCAGCUGCAUCUCUUAGGCGGUGUCCCAAAUGGCACGCUAUUUCCAAGUGCAGAACUUUUGAUCAGAGCCCUGUACUAUAUUGGGAAUAGGGUGCCAUUUGGAGCACAACCUCAAGCUACAGCUGUGAAGCUUACAGGCUCCUCUCUGCCCUACUCAGCUCUGUGAAGAUUACAUGUAUCGGGUUAGCAACAUUGUAAAUGAUCAUCAUGGUAAGACAUUCCUCAUUCCACCCUCUUCUAUGGCUUUGCCUGGCAAUCACCCAGAGAGGAAUAAAAUCAAAUCAUAAAACAGUUAUGACAUACUGUACCAGUCAAAAGUUUGGACACUGUUACGCUCGUCGUUUGAAUGAGGAGACCAAGGUGCAGUGUGGUAGGCGAACAUCUUACUUUUAUUAAAAUGAACACCGGAAAACAACAGAAUUCAAAACGAACGUAAAGUUCUGCAGGCUACACAACAACUAUACAAAAUCAAGAUCCCACAAACUAAGGUGGAAAAAAGGCUGCCUAAGUAUGAUCCCCAAUCAGAGACAACGAUAGACAGUUGCCUCUGAUUGGGAACCAUACCAGGCCAACAUAGAAAUAAAACAUAGAUUGCCCACCCUAGUCACACCCUGACCUAACCAAAUAGAGAAUAAAAAGGCUCUCUAAGGUCAGGGUGUGACAGACACACCCACUCAUUCAAGGGUUUUUCUAUAUUUGUACUAUUUUCUACAUUGUAGAAUAAUAGUGAACACAUCAAACUAUAAAAUAACACAUAUGGAAUCAUGUAGUAACCAAAAAGGUGUUGAACAAAUCUAAAUGUAUUUUAAAUUUGAGAUUCUUCUUAGGGCUCCCGAGUGGCGCAGCAGUGUAAGGCACUGCAUCUCAGACCCUGGUUCGUUUCCAGGCUGUAUCACAACUGGCCGUGAUUGGGAGUCCCAUGGGGCGGCGCACAAUUGGCCCAGCGUCGUCCGGGUUAGGGUUUUGGCCGGGUUAGGCCGUCAAUGUAAAUAUGAAUUUGUUCUUAAUUAACUGACUUGCCUAGUUAAAUAAAAGUGUAAUAAAAUUAAAGACACUGUCAGUGAUUUAUUUAUAAUUCAAGGCACACUUAACCAGCAUGGCUACCACAGCAUUCUGCAGCAGUACGCCAUCCCAUCUGGUUUGCGCUUAAUGGGACUAUUGUUUGUUUUCCAACAGGACCAUGACCCAACACACAUCCAGGCUGUGUAAGGGCUAUUUGACCAAGAAGAAAUGUGACGGAGUGUUGGCUCCCAAGUGGCGCAACAGUCUAAGGCACUGCAUCUCAGUGCUGGAGGUGUCACUACAGACCCUGGUUUGAUCCUGGGCUGCAUCACAACCGUCCGUGAUCUGGAGUCCCAUAGUACGGCGCACAAUUGGCCCAGUGUCAUCUGGGUUAGGGGAGGGUUUGGCCGGGAUUGUAAAAUAAGAAUCUGUUCUUAACUGACUUGCCUAGUUAAAUAAAGGUUAAAUAAAAUACAUAUAUCAGAAUACAUAUAUCAGAUCACCUGGCCUCCACAAUCACCCGACCUCAACCCAAUUGAGAUGGUUUGGGAUGAGUUGGACCGCAGAGUGAAGGAAAAACAGCCAACAAGUGCUCAGCAUAUGUGGGAACUCCUUCAAGACGGUUGGAAAAGCAUUCCAGGUGAAGCUGGUUGAGAGAAUGCAAAGAGUGUGCAAAGCUGACAUCAAGGCAAACCUAAAAUAUAUUUUGAUUUGUUUAACACUUUAUUGGUUAGUACAUGAUUCCAUAUGUGUUAUUCCAUAUUUUUUUUCUACAAUGUGGAAAAUAGUAAAAAUAAAGAAAAACCCUUGAAUGAGUGGGUGUGUCCAAACUUUUGAUUGGUACUGUAUAUGGCAAGAACACGUGAAUAAAAAGGGUGAGGGGGUUGAACGAGCGACAAAAACAGAGAGACAGAAACAUAGCUGCGCGAAGAUGUUUGGGGGUGGGAGUGCCAACAGGACUAGUAAAAUACCAUAGCACUACUUUUGUGGAAAAGUUUUUGAUUAUAGGCUAGAUAGUGAGGGGGUUGAAGGAGGGACAUAAAAAAACAGAAACAGAAAAACAAUUGAUAAUUGAUAAUUAUAGUCUUGUCCCAUCGCUGCAACUCCCGUAAGGCCCCAGGAGAGGCAAAGGUCGAGAGCCAUGCGCCACAACCCCACCAAGCCACACUGCUUCUUGACACACUGCUCACCUAACCCGGAAGCCAGCUGCACCAAUGUUUCAACUGGCAACCAUGUCAGAGUGCAUGCGCCCGGCCCGCCACAGGAGUUGCUAAAGCACGAUGGGACAAGGGCAUCCUGGCCUGCCAAACCCUCCCCUACCCGGAUGACACUGGGCCAAUUGUGCGUCGCCUCAUCGAACCCGGAUCUGUAGUGACGCCUCAAGCACUGCAGUGCCUUAGACCGCUGCGCCACUCGGGAGGCCCAAGAUUGACUUUUUCAGUUUGUGGAUUUAAACAAUUUCCUAAAUAACCAAUACAAAUGGUUUAAGUCACUGUUAAUGGUUAAAAACAACAACAAUUGCCACCGAAAACAAUGACACAAAAUUGUGUUUUCUGUUUGUCUCAGAAUGUCACAUCCUGGCCAUAGAGAGGCUUUUAUUCUCUAUUUUGGUUAGGCCAGGGUGUGACUAGGGUGGGCAUUCUAGUUUCUUUAUUUCUAUGUUUUUUAUUUCUUUGUUUUUGGCUGAGUGUGGUUCCCAAUCAGAGGCAGCUGUCUAUCGUUGUCUCUGAUUGGGAAUCAUACUUAGGUAGCCUUUUUCUACCUGUGUUUUGUGGGUAGUUAUUUUCUGUUUAGUCUCUGUUACCUGACAGAACUGUUCGCAUUUGUUUUGUUACUUUGUUCAAGCGUUUUUUGAUAAAUAAAUAAUCAUGAACACUUUU